rnacentral:tRNA from 1 species
GCGACUUUGGUGAAACUGGUAGACACGUCAGACUUAAAAUCUGUUUCUGUCAAAGAGUAUCGGUUCAAGUCCGAUAAGUCGUA